rnacentral:misc_RNA from 1 species
GAUGAAGAACGCAGCGAAAUGCGAAAAGCAAUGUGAAUUGCAGAAUUCAGUGAAUCAUCGAAUCUUUGAACGCACAUUGCGCCCGCUGGUACUCCGGCGGGCACGCCUGUCCGAGCGUCAUUUCAACCCUCAAGCCCUCCUUCGGGAUGGGCCUGGUGUUGGGGCUCGGCCGCCAUCUCCGGCGGCCGUCCCCUAAAUACAGUGGCGGUCACGUCGCGACUCCUUUGCGUAGUAGAAACACCUCGCUCCGGAUAGCAACGCGGUCCACGCCGUAAAACCCCCAAUUUUCAAUGGUUGACCUCGGAUCAGGUGGGAAUACCCGCUGAACUUAAGCAUAUCAAUAAGCGGAGGA